AUUCCGUUCUUCCAACCUAAAACCUUCUCCCAAAACCCCUCUUUCCAUUUCCCUCUCUCAAACAUGCUCUCCUCUCUCCGUACAAACCUCCAUCGCCUCCCUCCCCCUUCUCUCAUUCUCCAAUCCGCGUCGUUCCUUGAUGGGGCCAGAAUCAGAUGGAUCCGAGACCGUGGCCUCGAUCACGCCGUCGAGAAGGAGAAGAACCUCAUCCCUGUCAUCUCCCUCAUCAACCUCAUCCUAUCCGAGCCGUCCAAUUCCCUUCCCCUCUCCGUCGCCUCCGACAUGAAACCCCAGCUCUCCCUUCCCACACGUGCUAUAGAUUUCAUCCGAAAAUACCCCUCCAUUUUCCUCGAAUUACCAUCGACCUCCCCUCCUUACCGCCCUCGCAUCGCUGUCACUCCCGAUGCUCUCCACCUCCACGACGAUCUCGAUUCUGCCGUCCGAUCCUCCCGCGACGACUCUGCUGACCGCCUUGUCAAGCUCCUGAUGCUGUCCCCACAGAAGAAGCUCCCGAUCUGGGCCGUCGAUCGCCUGCGGUGGGACCUCGGCCUUCCCGACGAUUACGCUCGCUCCGUCCUCCCUGAAUUCCCUGACUACUUCCAGGUUUCGCCUUUCCGCCCAGGCGAGGACAAUAGGCUCGCCUUGGAGCUCGUCUGUUGGAGCAAGGAACUUGCCGUGUCGGCGAUGGAGAAGGCGGCCCGCUCAAAGGGAGAAUACAAGAAGGGAAUGCCACUUGCAUUCCCACUCCAAUUCUCUAGAGGUUUUGAUCUGGAGAAGAAGGUGAAGAAAUGGGUGGAUGAAUGGCAGCGAUUGCCAUACAUUUCUCCUUACGAGGACGGGACCCAUCUCCCACCGAAGAGCGAUAUUGGGGAGAAGUGGGCGGUUGGGGUCUUGCAUGAGAUCCUGCAUCUUUUGGUACCGAAGAAGACGGAUAAGGAGAAUGUUUUUCUUCUGGGUGAGGUAAUGGGUCUGCGGUCAAGAUUCAAAAGGGCGCUGUCUGACCACCCGGGGAUCUUUUACGUGUCGAACAAGAUCAGGACGAGCACUGUCGUGCUCAGGGAGGCGUACAAGAGAGAUUUGUUGGUGCAGAAGCAUCCGUUGAUGGGGAUGAGGUACCAGUUCAUUCACCUCAUGAAUAAGGGGAAGGAUGGGAGAGCAGCAGGCCCACUGUCAUCAUCACAUGCGAAUUCGAAUAAGAAUGCAUGGGUCGAAGAAGAGGAAGAUGAUGAUGACAAUGACAAUGACUAUGACGAUGGUGACGAUGAGAGUGGGGAAGAGGACAGUGAGGAAGAAGGGUAUGGAGACUCGGAUUCGGAGUCUGAGGAUGAAAGUGAAGGUGAGGAUGGUGAGGAUGAGGUGGGCCCUCGCCAGGGCAUUCUAGUCGGUAGGAGAGAGACGAGACGAGUUGGGCAGCGACCUAUUGAGAUGACAAGGCCCGCAGCAAGAACUUCUAUACGAGGGAGGUCAUCUGAAAAAAGACAUGAUACAGUGGGCAAGGUUCCGCGGACGUUUUCCAGAAGAACAGAGACGCAGGGAGGACAUAAUGUGGGUGUUAGAUCACAAGGAAGGCAGAAUUACCCAAGAAGUGGGGGAGAGAGAAGAUCAUCCGACCGUAGGACUCCUACUUUUUAGUUCAGAUGACAGAAAUGGCAGUAUUGGCAAGCGAGUGUUUUGACUAUAAAGAAAUGAGCAAUGAACAUCAUAUAGAUGUUGCUCAAAUCCUGUAGUAGACUUUGUUGGUUCUCAGCUAGGCAAUGACUCGGAGGAAAUUUUUGGCUGAUGAAAUUUGAAAGCAUGCAAUUGAUUCUUUGCAGAUACAAUCAAUGUGGAAGCACGCCCUCUGAUAGAUCUGCAUAGGACAAGGGAUGUUGUUGACAACGGGGGGGUGCCGGUGGCCAGCUGUGGACCCUCUGAUGCCUAAGUUAGGCUCAUAGAUUCUGAUCAAAGAUGAAGGUUGAGGUUUUGAGCCUACCUCUCUUUGUUUGGGGUAUUCGUAUAUAUAGUCCUCGGGCAGUUCUGGAACUGUCAUGUCUUAAUAAGAUGCACUGGAGAGUCCUUGUUCUGAUGGGAAACUACCUCCGAAGAUAUCAUCGAGCCCGCUUCGGUCGGCGUAAUCUUCGGCCGAGAUCAGGCCAGGCUCUCUUCUUCCAGGUAUGGAGUGUAAUCUCCUCUAGGCUACGCAUACCGCUCUGGAGGUGGUCAGCUCAGGGAGCUAGGGAACUCAAUGCUCGAGCUCCUUCCUUUAAGGGUCUGUCCUCGGAUAGCUCAGCCCAGGGGCUAGUCUCUACCUCAGAAGAAUCGCUCAUCAUAUAUCCGAGCCUUGUGCUUUGACAGCUCGGCUCGGAGAUCCGUUGCUGGCCCUUUUGUUUGGACCUUUGGUUACCCCAGCUCUGAGGCACAUCGCUUGUAGUUAGACUGUCAUUCUUCCCGUGUGAGGGACCAGUUCGGAUUUCCCUACAACAGGGGUCAUUUGUGUUUGACAAGUUCAAGGUAAUGUUUUGAAUUUGAAGCCGUUUCUUCUGUUGUAGGACUUAAGUUGUUGAGUAUACAGUCUUAACAUGUUCCCCUAGCAAGACAUAAUGAAUUCUAAAUACUAAAUGAUAUAGCUUGACUUCUAUUUCCAA